rnacentral:lncRNA from 1 species
GUAAGUUCACAGGUGUUAUAUACACAUAUACAUAUAUGACAGGAAGACCAGGUGCUCGAUUCUACGCCCUGGCACAGAGUUACUGGGACUAUGUGGUGACAGGUUUACUCUUGAUGUGGCUUGUCUGUGUUAUGGCGCAUUCCAUGAGAUCAUAUUUUACUAAGAUGUUUUACUGUUCUACUCACUGGGCUAUAGAGCUCAUCCCACUCCCUUAACCCCAGUUUUGCAGGUUCAGUGUACAGUGUACAGGGACAGUCCAGCAGA